rnacentral:rRNA from 1 species
UCUGGUAAUAAUGGCGGAGGGGUCACACCUGUUCCCAUACCGAACACAGCAGUUAAGCCCUCCAGCGUCGAUGGUACUUGGACCGCAGGGUCCUGGGAGAGUAGAACAUUGCCAGGC